AAAGGGAGACCUAAUUCGAGACAGGGCGAAAAAACAGUAGCCCAGUCUUCUGAAUCAAUCCCAAAAGGUCGGAACGAGGUAUGUGGCUUUCAAACUAGGUUCUGGGUUCACACAAGACCUGAAUCAGGAACAAGGGCUAUUAGCUCAGGUGGUUAGAGCGCACCCCUGAUAAGGGUGAGGUCCCUGGUUCGAGUCCAGGAUGGCCCACCUGCACAGGUGGCAAAAAAAGAGAAGCGAGGAAUCAGCACCUUAUCUUACUUACAUAGUAAGAGAGAAUGCUGGCUCUGAGUAAAGAGUCCAGAGGAACCUUGAAAACUGCAUAGAGCUAGGUGAAAAAGCCAAAAAAGAAGACCGCAAG
rnacentral:tRNA from 1 species